GACGGAGGGUGCUAGCGUUGUUCGGAAUCACUGGGCGUAAAGGGCGCGUAGGCGGCCUCAGGUGUCGGAUGUGAAAGCCCGGGGCUCAACCCCGGAGGUGCAUCCGAAACUCUGGGGCUGGAGGUCGGAAGAGGAGGGUGGAAUACCCAGUGUAGAGGUGAAAUUCGUAGAUAUCAGGAGGAACACCAACGGCGAAGGCAGCCCGCUGGGACGGUACUGACGCUGAGGCGCGAAAGCGUGGGGAGCGAACAGG
rnacentral:rRNA from 1 species